UCCGCAGGUUCUCCCAGACCUGCAGGUCCUAUUGGAGGGGGGAGUUAAACCUAUGUGGAGAGGCACCAAACUCAGUGGCAGCCAAUCAGGAUGAACCUAUUUGCAUAUGCCAUCUGAUUGGCUAACAUUGCUCUAAGAAAGGACUCAGGAAUCUCCUUGAUCUAAAAGAGGGGGAGCCAAAUCAGAUGCAGCUGGGAUCCUAACCCACCUCCUUGAGGAUUAUGGUGACCAAGGUUUGGAGGAAUGUCCGUGGAAAACCAACAAAGACAAACUAUGAAAAUCAAAACCACAUGGAAGUGAAAAGGAACAAUAUUAAAGAGAAGGGGUCACCCUGUCCGUGAAUGAAGACAAAAGACUGACUCAGUAUAUCACAGGGUGGAGAAAGACAGCCAGGAGCUACCUUGAAAGACUGGGUCCUAGCUCCUUGGGGCUAACAGGUGCUGGAAAAGACUGAA